CCUACGGGAGGCAGCAGUGGGGAAUAUUGGACAAUGGGGGGAACCCUGAUCCAGCGACGCCGCGUGAGUGAAGAAGUAUUUCGGUAUGUAAAGCUCUAUCAGCAGGGAAGAAAGAAAUGACGGUACCUGACUAAGAAGCCUCGGCUAACUACGGGCCAGCAGCCGCGGUAAUACGUAGGGGGCAAGCGUUAUCCGGAUUUAAUGGGUGUAAAGGGAGCGUAGACGGCGAGGUAAGUCAGAAGGGAAAGGCGGGGGCCCAACCCCCGGACUGCAUUGGAAACUGUAUGGCUGGAGUGCAGGAGAGGUAAGUGGAAUUCGUAGUGUAGCGGUGAAAUGCGGAGAUAUUAGGAGGAACACCAGUGGCGAAGGCGGCUUACUGGACUGUGACUGACGUUGAGGCUCGAAAGCGUGGGGAGCAAACAGGAUUAGAUACCCCAGUAGUC
rnacentral:rRNA from 1 species